GGUGAGUAAUACAUCGGCAACGUGCCCGAGAGUGGGGGAUAACGAAGCGAAAGCUUUGCUAAUACCGCAUACGAUCUCAGGAUGAAAGCAGGGGACCGCAAGGCCUUGCGCUCACGGAGCGGCCGAUGGCAGAUUAGGUAGUUGGUGGGAUAAAAGCUUACCAAGCCGACGAUCUGUAGCUGGUCUGAGAGGACGACCAGCCACACUGGGACUGAGACACGGCCCAGACUCCUACGGGAGGCAGCAGUGGGGAAUUUUGGACAAUGGGCGCAAGCCUGAUCCAGCCAUGCCGCGUGCAGGAUGAAGGCCUUCGGGUUGUAAACUGCUUUUGUACGGAACGAAAAGACUCUGGUUAAUACCUGGGGUCCAUGACGGUACCGUAAGAAUAAGCACCGGCUAACUACGUGCCAGCAGCCGCGGUAAUACGUAGGGUGCGAGCGUUAAUCGGAAUUACUGGGCGUAAAGCGUGCGCAGGCGGUUAUGUAAGACAGAUGUGAAAUCCCCGGGCUCAACCUGGGAACUGCAUUUGUGACUGCAUAGCUAGAGUACGGCAGAGGGGGAUGGAAUUCCGCGUGUAGCAGUGAAAUGCGUAGAUAUGCGGAGGAACACCGAUGGCGAAGGCAAUCCCCUGGGCCUGUACUGACGCUCAUGCACG
rnacentral:rRNA from 1 species